CGUAACUCAGCAGGUAAGUCAGCUUCCCACCGAUGCCGCUCACAUAUUAUCAUUAUCAUUUAUCAUUUUGUAAUUAACAGAGGACACAUGUAACAACUAUAAAUACUUCCAAUAUAACCAUGACAAACCAAAGCGGCAUACUUUUGUUUUUUUUAUAAUCACUUGCUUGCCUCAAAUCUUCAUCUAUCCUUUUUUCCUGAAUAUAUAUUUGGAUCCACAAUGAUAUACCAACACUCACAGAUGGAGGAGAGUCAUCAAGAAAGAGAGAUGGAGUACUGUCGUACUAGGAAGAUGAAUGCAUAUAUUCAUAGCCAAAUUAUGCGUAUUAGAGCAGAGGACUCGCAGCUUGGGGAAGAUAUAGCUAAGAAGCUUGGGCAAAGAGUUGUUGACCAGGAUGUUGCUUCUGUUUUCAUCUUGUCUAGGCCUAUUUUGCCUGCUUCACCACUUAGCGGCAAAGCCGCAAUUAAGUCUGCUAACUAGGAAGAUUACUGUACGCUGGACCGCUCACAGGAAAAAGGGAGGACGAAGAUGGCGUAUAUAGAGAUGGAGAUGAAUUACUUACUAUCUUAUCUCUUCCGUUAUGUAUAUUUUGAUGUACAGUAUAAUACGUAAGUAGGAAGAAAAUAGACGAAAUCUCCACCUCCCUCACUAUGUACAUUAAAAUAUAGAAAUACAAAAUACGUAGUUGAGAAGCAAA